rnacentral:rRNA from 1 species
AGUAGUCUUUUAAUUGAAGGCUUGAAUGAAAGGUCGGACAAGAAGUAAGCUGUCUCUUUAUUAAGUUUUUAAGUUUACAUUUAAGUGAAAAGGCUUAAAUAAAAUGAAGGGACGAUAAGACCCUUUAAAACUUUACUUACAGGAGUAAAAUUUUUUAAAUUAUAUAAUAAAAGUAAUUAUGCUUUGUAAGUUAUGCUGGGGCGGCAGAGAUAUAAUCUGUAACUGUCAUUUGAAUAAAAUAAAUAUAAUUAGAUAUUGAUCCUUAACUAGAGAUUAUAAGAUUAAGUUACUUUAGGGAUAACAGCGUAAUUUUCUUUGAGAGUCCAUAUCGACAAGAAUAGUUGCGACCUCGAUGUUGAAUUAAGAUUUCUAUCAAGUGCAGCAGCUUGAAUUAGUAGGUCUGUUCGACCUUUAAAAUCUUA